UUGAAACGGCCAACCUUGGGGGCGCCUGGAGGGCUCAGUCGGUUAAGCCUCCCACCUCGGCCUAGGUCAUGAUCUCGCCCUCCAGAGUUCCAGCCCCCCCCCCCAGCGGGGCUCCCCGCCGCCGACAGCUCGGAGCCGGGAGCCCCGCUUCGGAUUCUGUGUCUCCCCCUCUCUCUGCCCCUCCCCUGCUCGCGCUCUGUCUCUCUCUCUCUCUCUCUCUCUCUCAAAAAUAAAUAAGCAUUAAAAAAAAGAAAGAAAGAAAAAAAAGAAUAUUUGAAAUACUUUAAGAACCGUAAGCUGCUACACGUGAUUUUCACACUUGGUCCCUAGAACACUAAGGAACAGGAACGCGCUUUCACUCAUCUACAAAAGCACAGCGCGUCUAUCCAGGGAGUCUCCCGGGGACGGACACUGGGGUGGUUUCCGGCUGGGGAUCAGGACGCACCGCGUGGCCGCGGGCGCUCGCCGGCCGUGUACCAGGGCGGACGUGUGCACACACUUGGGCACCAGUGCGCCCUGGCCCUGACGAGGGAUCCUGGCAGACCGUUUCCAGAGGGGUUGUCCCGAUUUAUCCUCGCACACCAGCGCGUGAGGACCAGCUGCUGCUGGUCCCCAGCGCUGCGGACCGGAGAGGGGGCUGGGCCCGGCAGUCGACGGGGCCUCACACCGACGCCAAACCGGGCCAUCAGCGUGGCCCAGCAGGGUGCCAGUGACCUCAUCUCGGCUGCCUGGCCCCACUCCCGCUUCUGUCCCUACCAACGCACCCCAGCGUGAGUGGCUCGACCCUGCUAAGCCUCAUUUGCCACAUCUGUCAAUAGGGAUUUUUUAAGCCGUGUGCUGCUGAUUUAAUGUGCUAAAGAUUGGCUUCAUUUAGACAAUACACUAUCUUAUGUCAGUUGCUUUUCCAGGUUCAUGGAGCACCGUGAACCCUCUGAAAAUAUUCGGGGAGCAGUUGCAGCUUUGGGGGCAGCGGCAGUGUGUGCAUAACACAUUUGGGGACACAGUGGAGCUGGCAAAGGCAUGGAUCCCGGAUCUGGACCGCCUGGGUUCAACUCCCAGCUCUCCGACUAACCGGCUGUGCCACCUGAGAAUAGUUACUUAACCUCUCUGGGCCUCAGUCUCCCCGUUUAUCCACGGGGGUCAAAACAGCACCUGUCUCACUGAGCUGCUGUGAGACUAAAUGAGUUGAUGCGUGUCAAGCAUGGUUGGGACAGUGCCUGGCAUGUCGUAAGUGCUCAAUAAACGUUAGGUGUUGUUUUAUUCGUUUUAAUUG
rnacentral:lncRNA from 1 species